rnacentral:rRNA from 1 species
CAGAGGGUGCGAGCGUUAAUCGGAAUUACUGGGCGUAAAGCGCGCGUAGGCGGCUUUGCAAGUCGGGUGUGAAAUCUCCAGGCUUAACCUGGGAACUGCAUUCGAGACUGCAUUGCUAGAGUAUGGGAGAGGGAAGUGGAAUUUCCGGUGUAGCGGUGAAAUGCGUAGAUAUCGGAAGGAACAUCAGUGGCGAAAGCGACUUCCUGGACCAAUACUGACGCUCAUGUGCGAAAGCGUGGGGAGCAAACAGGAUUAGAUACCCUGGUAGUCCACGCCAUAAACGAUGAGAACUGGAUGUCGGGAGGGUCUGCCUCUCGGUGUCGUAGCUAACGCGUUAAGUUCUCCGCCUGGGGAGUACGGCCGCAAGGUUG